GGUUAUAAUGUAUUGAUCAUAUUAUAGAGCUUUACUUGUAAAUUAUAAUUCCCAUAAAGUUUCUGAUACCUUUUGCAUCAUGGAAUUACUAAUUACCUAUUAACUACUUUGACACGAAGCAGUGUGAGCUAAAUAACGUAGUUUGUUAGGGCUUCCGGUGUUGUGUGGCAGAACAUCUCGGCAAAUAGAUAUUUAGGGGUGAAAGGCUUCCCACACACUGCGAUAUCUUGUUGUGCAAUUAAAAAUAUUUAGUAUUUAAGUCAGACUAGUAAAGCCAAGCUUGUUAGUGUACAUUUCGUAAGUUUCGCUAGCGCAUCAAAGGUUAACCGCUAGUAAAUAAAAAUGACAAUAUUUUUCAUUUGACAUAAUGUUAUCCCUUGCGCAUCACAAACCCGUACCUAAGUUACUAAUGUAAUUAUGAGUAAUUGUUGAAAUAUCUUUAAUGAACUCGGCAAAUAGCUGCUCGACUGUUUAUCAAAAACAUAACGGUAUGUAUAAAUAUACGGCUUUUUCUGCUCCAUGGUAAUCUAAAUAGCCGCAGUACCCUGACUGUGCAAAGGUAGCAUAAUCAAUUGACUUGUAAUUGCAGUCUGGAAUGAACGAACAUACGGGCAGCGGCUGUCUCUGAGGUAUUUAGGUUAAUUUGGUUAGUAAGUGCAAAUACUUACAGGAAUAAAAAAGACGAGAAGACCCUAGAAACUUUAGUUAUUUUGUUGGGGCGACAGAAUUACAUUGAACUAAUUUUCAAAUACGUGACACAAAGGCGAAAGAAAAAGUUACUCUAGGGAUAACAGCAUAAUUUUUUGAAGUUUGUGACCUCGAUGUUGGACUAGGUAUUAUAGUCUCUAAAAGAUACUGUUAAGGGCUCUGUUCGAGCAAUUAAACCUACAUGAUCUGAGUUCAGACCGGCGUAAGCCAGGUCAGUUUCUAUCUUUUAAUAAUCGUUUAUAAGUACGAAAGGAAAAUAAGGGACAUAUAAUAUG
rnacentral:rRNA from 1 species